GGCCUUCUGUAUCCGUGCUGAGAUUUCGUCACACACCAGACCACAAGGGCUGAUGAGACGUUAGAUAAGAUGAAUUA
rnacentral:pre_miRNA from 1 species